rnacentral:rRNA from 1 species
UACAGAGGUCUCAACCGUUGUUCGGAUUCAUUGGGCGUAAAGGGUGCGUAGGCGGCGGGGCAAGUCAGGUGUGAAAUCUCGGGGCUCAACCUCGGAACUGCCUUCGAUACUGGCGACCUUCGAGUCCGGGAGAGGUGAGUGGAACUCCGAGUGUAGAGGUGAAAUUCGUAGAUAUUCGGAAGAACACCAGUGGCGAAGGCGGCUCACUGGCCCGGUACUGACGCUGAGAUACGAAAGCGUGGGGAGCAAACAGG